GCCUUCAGAUGAAGAUGUAGAACCCUGAGCUCCUCAUGCACCAUUCCUGUCUGGACACUGCCAUUGCCUUGAUGUUAAUGGACUGAACCUCUGAACAUCAGAGCUGUGGGGACUCCCCUCUACCCUCUUGGCUCCUGAGGGUGCAGCUCCUAAUCAGCCGAAAGGAACAACAAGCACAAAUGGAAACACUGCACUUGGGAGUCCCUGGAACUGCGAAGAACUUCUCCAGGCUGUGGGAAAUAGGAAUGACAGAAGACCUGGCCUGCUUCUCAUCAUUACUUCCUCAUAGCUGACCUCUGUUCAUGACAAAGGUCAAUAACAGACUAACUCAGAAAUCCCUUCCUUUGGAGCAUUGUCUACUCUUCGGGAACACUACAUACACCUUGGGAAGAUGCUACGCUAUGGGAGCACUACCUACCUACUGGGAGCACUAUCUUUUCAGAAUACUGGCCAAACCAUGGGAACAUUAUCUAUCCUUCAGGAGAGGGGGUCGUUUACUGAACUUGGAGCUCAUCACUUCAGCUAGAAUUGCAGCUAAGCAGGCGUUGGGAACCCUCUUGCCUCUGCUUUGCCAACACUGAGACUAAAGGUACCUGUCACUACAUCUGGCUUUUACAUGGGAGCUGAGGAUUUGAACUCAGCUACUUAUGCUUGCACGGCAAGGACUUCCCCAACUGAGCCAUCUUUCCAGCACCUUGAAGUAGAGAACACUUCAAAGUUUUACAGCCUAAUUGUUUUACAGCCAAUGAAACUAAUUUACAGAUUAUGCAGCUGGCCAAUCACACAGCAGUAGAAGCGGAGGCAAGCUGGGCCUUGUGGAGUAAUAUUUUCUGCAUCCAUACUUCGGGGAUUAAAUCCUGGAUUUGGUCCACUUUUUUCUAUGCCCUGCAUAAUGAAGAAUGCAGCUCAGAACCAUUGUGGCGGUUUGUUCAGGGAUGAGGGUUUUCCCAGGACUUGGCUAUUUUAACAUUAAGGCUGGGACAGAUCCUGACGUGGCUGUAGUGGUUGGCAGUUGUCAUGUUUUUAAAGCAGUCUAAAUUUUAUAAUGAGAAGGCCAGACAUUCUAGAACCACAUUUUAAAGAAUUCACUAAAAAUUAAAAACAUGUUUAGAAAAGAUACACAAACGGUGAAUAAAGAGUUAAAUAUAUCUUUCUUCAUAUCUUAUGAGCCUGGGAUCUGUUUACUCUCAUAGCAUCAUACAACACAAUUUACGAUUUAGGACCAUCUGAAGCGCCGAGGUCAUGCGACAAGACAGGGAAUAGGAACUGGAAGACGGUUUGUUCCACGCCAGUCAGCGUGGCGUGUGGAGAUGUCAUGUGACAAAGGAUGCAGUCUGUCACAACAAAGCCCAGAACCACAUCUCCUCUAACUCUAGUCCUAAGCAUGUGACACUUGUCUCAGCACAUGUGGUGUUUAUUUCACUGUGUUGUAACCACUUGUUUGUUGUUUGUGUCCCUUGCUAGAUAGAAAGAUCAUCGAGGACAGCAUGUAGCUGUCCCGGGAUUUACAACUGUCCCUGUUCAGUGGUCCUAGCACAGAGACUGUUGAAAACAUCUUGGGCUACAAAUUGUGUCUGGGCUUUCUGGAUGCAGAACAAAAUGUGACUUUAGAAGCCAUGUCUGAAAACAUCAGUCCUGAAGCCUUCCAGCUCGCAAAUGUCUGGCUCCUGGAAGGCCUGGCUUCUCCCAUUUUUCUGAUACGAACCACACUCUAAGUGAGAAGUAUGGGCUUAGCUUCUGGAGAAAGUCUCCCAGUGCCUGGAGACAGCGGCUGAGAGAAAAGAAGAAACGGCAAGUUGCAGAAAGCAUGGCUUGGGGCUUCUUUAUCAUUGGGGGAGAAGAUACCCACUUACAAGUGGUAUUAAAGCCUGUGGUUAGAUUUCACCAGUAUAAAUUAUUCACGGAGAACUGCCAAGGGUUUUCCCUCCCUGCAUUCUGCACUCCCCUACCUUGCUAGUCUAGUGGGUUUUUUGAAGACCAGCGCCCUCUGGCGGUUGAAGUGAGAAAAACCCCUCUAGGAAGAAAAUAAAAAGGAGGAAGGGUUUUUGCCCUUGCCUGCUCUUACCUAAUGAGGGGCUUCGGAGAGAAAUACUUUCUAUUGCUACCCUGAAUGUGAAGUGUCAUGUGACCAUGGGGCUAGUGGUAUUUGAGGCUGCUUAACCGUCUUAGGCUAAUGUGGCCUUGGCAGUAACGCCCCCAGUGGUAGAACAUCCGGUGGAAGAGGUUUCCAGGGCAUCUGGAGAACCACGUUCACUUUUUGUGUUUUCUGUAGGGAGGUACGAGAUAGAACAAGACUCAAGACUAAGCUGGGUGUGGACCUGAAACAUCUAGUACUUGGGGGGCUGAGGCAGGUGGAUCAAUGGGAGUUAGAGGCCAGCCUGGGCUGCAUAGUAAAUUCUGGGACAGUCUAGGCUUCAGAGUGAGAUGAUGUCUCAAAAUGAACGAUUUAAGGCUUGUCAAAAAGAGACAGUGGGCAAUGGUGGUGCACACCUUUAAUCCCAGCACUUGGGAGGUAGAAGGAGGAUCUCUUGUCAG
rnacentral:sRNA from 1 species